UACGAAGGGGGCUAGCGUUGCUCGGAAUUACUGGGCGUAAAGGGUGCGUAGGCGGGUCUUUAAGUCAGGGGUGAAAUCCUGGAGCUCAACUCCAGAACUGCCUUUGAUACUGAGGAUCUUGAGUACGGGAGAGGUGAGUGGAACUGCGAGUGUAGAGGUGAAAUUCGUAGAUAUUCGCAAGAACACCAGUGGCGAAGGCGGCUCACUGGCCCGUAACUGACGCUGAGGCACGAAAGCGUGGGGAGCAAACAGG
rnacentral:rRNA from 1 species